AGCUACAGCCUUACCACCAUGAAUAAGCCAAAUCCUGUCUGAUCUAAGAAGCUAAGCAGGGUUGGGCCUGGUUAGUACUUGGUUGGGAGACCACCUGCAAGCAUAAAAAAAUUUUAAAAA
rnacentral:rRNA from 1 species